GUGUGUUGUGUGUGAGUGUGUGAGUGUGUGUGUGUGUAUGUAUGUAUGUAUGUGUGUGUGUAUGUGUGUGGUGUUGUAUGUGUGCGCGUUUUUUUCUGUUCCUCUUCCAGCCGCGUAUUGAAAAGACUAGGUUUUUGUGUUGUUUGGAUGGCAGCUUGCCAACCGAGCUUAAUGUUUUGUGGGAUGUCAGUCGCCGACCACCCCAUCUUAAUAACCCUCGCGCGGUACUCCGACACGCCGAAUAUCAUUAUUACAUCUGGGGAUGUGCUGUGGAAAUGUAUCGCUGCACAACAAAUAUUGACAGCGUUCCAGACUCUGAAAUAAUUACUCUCCCACUCUCUCUCUCCUCUCUCUCUCUCUCUCUCUAUCUCUUUUCUCUCUUUGCACCUCGUCUCCCUCUUCGACUCGAUGUUCUCUUUCUUCUUGCGAAUCUUUCGCGUUUGUGGUUUUGAACAUUCGGAUUUUCGGUUUUCACUUUAAUAAGUGGAAUGACUUAAACAAAAUUCGACCAUUUUCUCCAAUUCGGCAACGAUUGCGGAUUUCAGCGAUUUACAGUUUUUAGUGUUUCCUUUUUUUUCUAGACUUUAAACAAAAGUGGAACGGCUUAAACGAAAUUUGGUAAUAAUAAUAAUAAUAAUUUCUCGAAUUCGAGGAAACGAUUACGGAUUUCGGCGAUUUACGGUUUUUUGGUUGCUUUUUUUUUGCGUGUUUUAAUGUCGAUCUAUCCGAUCGGUUAUUAUAUUACAUAUAUAUUUUUUUUUCUUUAGUUAAAUUGUCUUAACGGAUCACAGGCGACACUGUAUUCCUUUAUACCAAAUUGUGUAAAGAUGCUUAUUUAAUUUCGUUUAAUGAGCCAGCUUAAAGCAUUUUCUUGAAGUUGGGUAAUAUUUUAGAAUAGUUUACGACGGUUACAAAAGGAGGAUUAUACCAGUGUUGUUUGAUAAAAUAAGAGCAAUAAGCUCGCUACUUUCACUUCAUUGUUUUAUUGUCUAAACACGUGGAAUGAGUUUUUUUCUGUCAAAAGAGAUAUAUUGGUAACAUCUUGUCGAGUUUCUAUUAUUGGUAAAUGACUGUUUUGUUCAUCAGCUUUACCAGGAUAGAAUCCAAACUUUGAUGAAUGCCUAUACAUUGUCUGAACGUUUUUAGUUUUAAUUUUAUCGCCGGAUAAAAGUAACGACGUUUAAAAAAAAGAAGAAAAAAAAAAAAUAC
rnacentral:lncRNA from 1 species